rnacentral:rRNA from 1 species
CGAGGGUGCUUCUUCCUCUUCGGAGGGAGGAGUACCCGGCAGACGGCUCAGUAACACGUGGACAACUUGUCCUGUGGUCCGGGAUAACCCCUGGGAAACUGGGGCUAAUACCGGAUAGAGCACCGACCGCUGGAAUGCGCGAUGCUCGAAAGCUCCGGCGCCACAGGGUAGGUCUGCGGCCGAUUAGGUUGUUGUUGAUGUAACGGAUUAACAAGCCUCCAAUCGGUAUGGGUUGUGAGAGCAAUAGCCCAGAGAUGGGUUCUGAGAGAAGAACCCAGGUCCUACGGGACGCAUCAGGCGCGAAAACUUUACACUGUGCGCAAGCACGAUAAGGGAACUCUGAGUGCCUCCACAGGAGGCUGUUCAGGUGUCUAAAACGCAUCUGAAGGAAGGGCUGGGUAAGACCGGUGCCAGCCGCCGCGGUAACACCGGCAGCCCAAGUGGUGGCCAUUCUUACUGGGUCUAAAGCGUCCGUAGCCGGCCUGAUAAGUUCCUUGGGAAAUUUGAUCGCUCAACGAU